GGGAUCUUCGGACCUUGCGCUAAUAGAUGAGCCUAAGUCGGAUUAGCUAGUUGGUGGGGUAAAGGCCUACCAAGGCGACGAUCUGUAGCGGGUCUGAGAGGAUGAUCCGCCACACUGGGACUGAGACACGGCCCAGACUCCUACGGGAGGCAGCAGUGGGGAAUAUUGGACAAUGGGGGGAACCCUGAUCCAGCCAUGCCGCGUGUGUGAAGAAGGCCUUUUGGUUGUAAAGCACUUUAAGCGAGGAGGAGGAGCUCUAGAUUAAUACUCUAGAUGCUUGGACGUUACUCGCAGAAUAAGCACCGGCUAACUCUGUGCCAGCAGCCGCGGUAAUACAGAGGGUGCAAGCGUUAAUCGGAUUUACUGGGCGUAAAGCGUGCGUAGGUGGUCUUUUAAGUCGGAUGUGAAAUCCCUGAGCUUAACUUAGGAAUUGCAUUCGAUACUGGGAGACUAGAGUAUGGGAGAGGAUGGUAGAAUUCCAGGUGUAGCGGUGAAAUGCGUAGAGAUCUGGAGGAAUACCGAUGGCGAAGGCAGCCAUCUGGCCUAAUACU
rnacentral:rRNA from 1 species